rnacentral:rRNA from 1 species
UACGAGGGGGGCUAGCGUUGUUCGGAAUUACUGGGCGUAAAGCGCGCGCAGGCGGCUAUCCAAGUCAGUGGUGAAAGCCCGGAGCUCAACUCCGGAACUGCCAUUGAAACUGUUUAGCUUGAGGAUGAGAGAGGUGAGUGGAAUUCCCAGUGUAGAGGUGAAAUUCGUAGAUAUUGGGAAGAACACCGGUGGCGAAGGCGGCUCACUGGCUCAUUACUGACGCUCAGGCGCGAUAGCGUGGGGAUCAAACAGG